CCUACGUGUGGCUGCAGUGAGGAAUAUUGGUCAAUGGCCGGAAGGCUGAACCAGCCAUGCCGCGUGAAGGUCAGUGCCCUAUGGGCGUUAAACUUCUUUUGUGCGGGAGCAAUAAUGGUCACGUGUGGCCAGACGAGAGUACCGUACGAAUAAGCAUCGGCUAACUCCGUGCCAGCAGCCGCGGUAAUACGGGGGAUGCAAGCGUUAUCCGGAUUUAUUGGGUUUAAAGGGUGCGUAGGCUGUGAGGUAAGUCAGCGGGGAAAUGCCCCCGCUCAACGGGGUGAAGUGCCAUUGAUACUGGCUUGCUGGAGUGCGGGUGCGGCGGGAGGAAUGUGUGGGGUAGCGGUGAAAUGCGUAGAGAUCACACAGAACACCGAUUGCGAAGGCAUCUCACGAAUCCGCGAUUGACGCUGAUGCACGAAAGCGUGGGUAUCAAACAGGAUUAGAUACCCUUGUAGUC
rnacentral:rRNA from 1 species